GUGGGGAAUAUUGCACAAUGGGGGAAACCCUGAUGCAGCGACGCCGCGUGAGCGAAGAAGUAUUUCGGUAUGUAAAGCUCUAUCAGCAGGGAAGAUAAUGACGGUACCUGACUAAGAAGCCCCGGCUAACUACGUGCCAGCAGCCGCGGUAAUACGUAGGGGGCAAGCGUUAUCCGGAUUUACUGGGUGUAAAGGGAGCGUAGACGGCAAGGCAAGUCUGAUGUGAAAACCCAGGGCUUAACCCUGGGACUGCAUUGGAAACUGUCUGGCUCGAGUGCCGGAGAGGUAAGCGGAAUUCCUAGUGUAGCGGUGAAAUGCGUAGAUAUUAGGAAGAACACCAGUGGCGAAGGCGGCUUACUGGACGGUAACUGACGUUGAGGCUCGAAAGCGUGGGGAGCAAACAGGA
rnacentral:rRNA from 1 species